GUUUUAUUUAAAAAUAAGUUAGGGAAAAGUAUAACAGUAAGUGCCUAACGUUAUAACCUCAUAAAUAAACAAUAUUCCAGAUUUUGACAUAUUGGUGUUUUUACAUUUGUAUCCAUGUUAUGGCACGUGUCACUACUCUACAUUUUUUAUAAUUCUGUUUGACUCAAUUAUACGAAAAAAUGUUAUUCGUCUCGAUUACUGUAAUGAAAGAUUUAAAAUACAAUUUUCUUUUGUUGCGAAAAUAUAAGGGAUUAAUAAAUAUAUUUUUUCGGCAACCAAACUUUUGUUAAAGCCUGUACCGUUUUUGGUGAUUACAUUUUUAUUAAAAAAUUACCAACAUGUUUCUGCUUGACAUCAAGUCUUUACCAAGGCAUUAUAUACUAAGAUAGAAAAAGAAAGCAAAUCCUUGAAGAUUAUAUCAAGUUUGUUAUUAGCUCAUAUUGAACUAUUGUUAUCUUAAAUUAUAAGUAAUCAUUGUUGAUGUAUUUGAUAAGUCACGCAGAGAAAAAGUUGUCGUGAAAUAAAAGCAUCCACUUUCCAGUUUUUUUUCAGCGACAGGAAUAUCUUUUUUACACAAAUAUAAUUAUUUGUUUGCAAAAUUAUGUAAAGUUUGUCGCAAAAGGAUAAUGAUUUCUGCAAAAAUAUUCUUUUUGAGACAAAUUCAAUUGAUUUUAACCUGAAAUUUAAGAGGAAAUUCCAUUUGUUUCAACAAGCAUCCUUCCGGCCUAGAGAUUAUGAUAUUUUGAUCGCAUUCUAAGGUAUUGGCGUUUGAAAUAAAUUGUUUCUUUAAGCCAUAUGUUUUUUAUAAUUAUACUGAGAAACUAAGUGUGUGUGCACAUAUUACGUUAUAUGAUCGGUCUCCCUAUUUGGAAAUUGUACUAGUUAUGUUAUUAAAAGUUGAAUAUUGUAUUAUUCCAUAUGAAAUUAUUUUGUGUUAUAUGCAAUGUAACCUAUUUUUGUCAUCAACUUCCGUCAGACAAUUUGUAAGUGCGAGCUUCUUUAUGUCACUCUUCUGCACCUGGUGCUAAUUUCAUUACAUUAAUUAUAAGAAUGUAAUUACUAGACAUAGUGAUUAGAAACUCCUUCCUUUGUUGGAUUACAAACGUUGCAAGAUCUUGUCACGAAGGGAAAUUUGAAACGGCCCUAUAACUCUGGAAUUGAAUUGGGUUAAUGUAAGCAAAAUUCCAAAUUUGCAUUCGCUGAUUCAUAUAUGUAAAACUUGAAAUCACGUAUAAUGUUCAACAAUACGUCUGAUCACUUGAUUUCGGAUUUCUAUUUCCAAUUUUCCUACAGUUUCUUCAAUCAAGGAAUAUUGGUUAAUGAAGAAAUGAGCUAAAACUGACUCUGAAUGAGAGAUUUAAAAUAAAAACACAUUAAAAUGUUAUUCUGCAUAAUAUUCGUGUUUCCUCAUCGACAUAAUAGAGAUGUUUCAUAAACUCUAUAUUGUUUAAUGCAUCCUGCAAAUUAAAAACUUCACUGGCACACUCUUGACAGUUGAUUUCUAUCUCCAAUUUUGCUGAAAGUGUCUGCAACCCGAAUACGUUGGUCACUUAAAAUGUUCAUUGUAACUGAACCUGAAAUUGAAUAAGAAAAAUAACUUUCGACUGAAAAACCUUUAAGAUGUUAUGUCGGAUACGUGAUUUAAACUGAUUAUUUUAGGAAGAAUCUGAAUUUUAUC